rnacentral:rRNA from 1 species
UACGUAGGGGGGCAAGCGUUUGUCCGGAAUUAUUGGGCGUAAAGAGCGUGUAGGCGGCCAGAUAAGUCCGCUGUGAAAUCUCGAGGCUCAACUUCGAGCUGUCGGUGGAAACUAUCUGGCUAGAGUCCGGGAAGAGGAGAGUGGAAUUCCUGGUGUAGCGGUGAAAUGCGCAGAUAUCUGGAGGAACACCGGUGGCGAAGGCGGCAUCCUGGACCGGGCAUUGACGCUGAGGAGCGAAAGCCAGGGGAGCAAACGGGG